ACUCAAAGGAAUAGACGGGGGCCCGCACAAGCAGCGGAGCGUGUGGUUUAAUUCGAUGCAACGCGAAGAACCUUACCUGGGCUUGACAUGACGGUGAAAACCGUGGAAACACGGUCCCCUUCGGGCACCGCCACAGAUGUUGCAUGGCUGUCGUCAGCUCGUGUCGUGAGAUGUUGGGUUAAGUCCCGCAACGAGCGCAACCCUCGUGGUCUGUUGCAAAUCAGGCCAGACUGCCUCUCACAGAGGAGGAAGGUGGGGAUGACGUCAAGUCCGCAUGGCUCUUACGUCCAGGGCUACACACACGCUACAAUGGCCGGUACAAUGAGCUGCCACGGGGCGACCCGGAGCGAAUCUCCAAAGCCGGUCUCAGUUCGGAUACCAGGCUGCAACUCGCCUGGUUGAAGUCGGAGUUGCUAGUAACCGCGUGUCAGCAUAGCGCGGUGAAUAUGUUCCCGGGCCUUGUACACACCGCCCGU
rnacentral:rRNA from 1 species